UACGGAGGGUGCAAGCGUUGUUCGGAAUUAUUGGGCGUAAAGGGCGCGUAGGCGGUAAUGCAAGUCAGAUGUGAAAUACUCCGGCUCAACUGGGGAACUGCAUCUGAAACUGCAUAACUAGAGUACAGAAGAGGGAAACGGAAUUCCCGGUGUAGAGGUGAAAUUCGUAGAUAUCGGGAGGAACACCAGUGGCGAAGGCGGUUUCCUGGUCUGAUACUGACGCUGAGGCGCGAAAGUGUGGGGAG
rnacentral:rRNA from 1 species